ensembl:lncRNA
CAUUUUACUUGAACAACCCUUUCUUCUGAUGCCCAUUUCCCAGGCCGCUGGAUAGCACACACCAAUAAAUAAAGAGAAGUCUCCAAAUAAGACAUAAAAGAGCUCUUCCACUUCCAAAGUCCCAGCAGCAACCUUCCCAUUGCCAGAGCUCCAUUAACUGCCAUUUCCUAAUCCGUAAUGGAAUGAGGAGCACGACCAAAGCUGCUUUUCCUCUGAAACACAAGGUCCUUACAGACUGGGUGGAGACUACGCUUCAGAGCCAUCAGCUUCCUCUGAAACUUCUGGGUCUAGCAGGCAGCUGCACCAGCAGCAUUGCCCUGUCCAGG